UCUGCUGAUAUAUAAUAAUGAUGUUUUACAUUUUAGGCAUGUAGAUACUCAUACAUCUAAAUAAUCUCACAAUGUUUAGGCAUCUUCUAAAUAGGAUAUGAUUUGGUUUGGUCUUUCAACUGUUGUAAUUCGACCGCCAAUGUUGAGUACUAUUUAGAUAAAUCGUGCGUCUGGUGUACAAAUUUAUAAGGCUUUUAUUACAACCACUGGGUGGAUGCGACUACUUAUGGGCUUUUCAUCCCCAAAGGUAUCAGCGGCACAAUAUUGUCAGCACGGUUGUAUCAACAUAAAACAUCACUGAUUUAUGCAUUUUCUGUACAUUUACUGCAUAUAAAAUGAAGAAAUAUUCGAAACACUUCGAUUUUGAAACAUAGGAGUAGAAUGUCUUUAGAAUUCGUUCUAUUUGAACAAAAAUUGUUAAAGCGGUUUCCCGUUCAUUAGUCAAAGAAAUUAUUUAGAAUAUAAGGUUUCAACUCUCUACGGCAAACUUGAUCUAAGAUGAAUGUGGUUCUAAUGAUUAGGUCAUGUCUGCUCAUAAAGCUCCUUACGAUCUAGAGUUUCUACGCAUUCCUGGAUUUCAAAUGUAUAUGCCUAUUGAUACAGGCUAGAAAAGCGCUUCGAACGCACUUUAUUUAUUAAGUGUUUAAUUCAUUUAAAUACAAUGUCUUACACACUUUUUCAUGAAACUGACUGUCUGUAUAAUGAAUGUUAUUAUACACAGAUUGCACACCUAAUUUGAAUGACUACUGCUUUUACCUUUCAUUCAAACGACAAAUGCUAUUAUAAUUUGAAUAUUUUGUUAAAUGUCUUGAGUAAAUGUAACAACAAAUGUUUUUUAAAGUAAGUCACAAGAUUUUGUUAUAUCUAGAAUAAUAGGAAAUAUAAUGAU
rnacentral:lncRNA from 1 species